GGGGUCUUGCUCUCCUCCCACUCAGGUUUCCGGAGGCGCUUGUCCUUCCCUGAGGGUGUAGGGGUCGCUCUUUAAGUUCCUUUGAAUCUGGUGUCCUUUGCAGCCGGGGUGACGCUGGCUGGAUUUUGAUCAACCAGAUCACACCUGUACAGGCUCCAGAAAUUUCUGAAAGAAAUCUACUACUCGUGAUACAGCAACCGGGCCCAUGAGAAACCAUCACUACCCUGAACUCUUGCUUCUCUCCAAUGGACUUUCAUUCAAAACAAUCCCUCCCAAUUCCUCCUUUUUCUCUGUAAAAUAACAGUACUCUCUCUUAUUUACUGAAUUUCCCCAUGGUUCACCACAGCCUGCACAUUCUGAAUUCUUUGGCUAUUCCUGAAUAAA